rnacentral:rRNA from 1 species
UACGUAGGGUCUGAGCGGUAAUCGGAAUUACUGGGCGUAAAGCGUGCGCAGGCGGUUUUGUAAGCCAGAUGUGAAAGCCCCGGGCUCAACCUGGGAACUGCAUUUGGGACUGCAAAGCUGGAGUACGGCAGAGGGAGGUGGAAUUCCACGUGUAGCAGUGAAAUGCGUAGAGAUGUGGAGGAACACCGAUGGCGAAGGCAGCCUCCUGGGCUAGUACUGACGCUCAUGCACGAAAGCGUGGGGAGCAAACAGG